AUGUUCAUCAAUCGUUGAUUGUUUUCAACUAACCACAAAGAUAUCGGAACACUAUACCUGCUAUGGCGCCUGAACCGGGAUAGUAGGCACGGCCUUAAGCCUUCUAAUUCGAGCAGAACUAGGUCAACCAGGAACUCUGUUAGGAGAUGAUCAGAUCUACAAUGUUAUUGUUACCGCCCACGCAUUUCGUUAUAAUUUUCUUUAUGGUAACACCGAUCAUGAUAGGGGUUUUUGGCAACUGGCUAGUCCCUCCGACUAUUGGUUGACUCGACAUGGCAUUCCCCUGAAUAAAUAAUAUCAGCUUCUGGCUUUUCCCCCUAACUUUUCUACUCCUACUUGAGUCUUCAAUAGUAGAAGCCAGUGCUGGAACCACCUGGACAGUUUGUCCCCCUUUAGCAGGAAACCUAGCACAUGCAGAAGCCUCUGUGGCUCUGACCAUCUUCUCGUUCCACUUAGCAGGUGUUUUUUUCUAUUUUAGGGGCCAUUAAUUUUAUUAUUAAUUAUUAACAUAAAACCCCCAACCAUAUCCCAGUAUCAAACACCGCUUUUCGUCUGAUCAGUCCUCAUUAUGGCAGUCCUUCUACUCCUUUCCCUCCCAGUCCUAGCCGCCGGCAUUGCUAUGCUAUUAACUGACCAUAACCUCAACACUACUUCUUUUGACCCUGCUUGUGGGGUGACCCCAUCUUGUUCCAACAUUUAUUCUGAUUCUUUGGUCGCCCUGAAGUCUGCAUCCUUAUCCUACCAGGCUUCAGGAUAAUCUCCCACAUCGCAACAUAUUAUUCUGGAAAAAAGGAACCAUUUGUGUACAUGGGCAUAGUAUGAGCCAUGAUAUCAAUUGGCAUCUUUGGAUUUAUCGUAUGGGCUCACCAUAUAUUUACAGUAGGAACAGACAUAGACACACUAGCAUACUUCACCUCCGCUGCCAUAAUAAUUGCCAUCCCUACUGGCAUCAAGGUCUUUAGCUGAUUAGCUACCCUGCACUGUGGUAACAUCAGAUGAUCUCCCGCAAUAUUCUGAGCCCUAGGAUUCAUUUUCCUUUUCAGAGUGGGAGGUUUAACCGAUAUUGUACUAGCUAAUUCAUCACUAGAUAUUGUCUUACACAACACAUACUAUGUUGUAGCCCAUUUCCACUACCUUCUAUCAAUAGGAGCAAUAUUUGCCAUUACAGGAGGCUUUGCCACUGAUUCCCCCUAUUUUCAGGUUAUACAUUUAAUCAGACCUAUGCUAAAAUCCACUUCACCAUUAUAUUCAUAGGUGUUAACUUAACCUUUUUUCCACAGCACUUCCUCAGCCUAUCGGGUAUGCCUCGACGUUACUCCAAUUACUCUGAUGUGUACGCCACAUGAAAUAUUAUCUCAUCCGUAGGCUCAUUUAUCUCACUAACAGCUGUUAUACUAAUAAUCAUUAUGAUCUGAGAGGCCUUUGCUUCAAAAUGAAAAGUACAAUUGUGCAAUCACCUACUAAUUUAGAGUGACUUUACAGCUGUCCACCACCUUACCACACAUUUGAAGAGCCAACCUGUGUGAAAACCUAA
rnacentral:lncRNA from 1 species